GAGCACCUCUGUGGCCCCGGCCUGCACUCCCCCGACGGCGGGCCCCUGUGAGCAGGGCCAGGACCUGCCCGGUGCCCACACGUUCUCUUGUCGGCCGUGCUGUGGUGCAGUGGCCACGUGUGCGUUCGUGCCAGACCGAGGCAGGGACUAAACCCGGGCCUUCAGCAGUGAAAGUACCAGAUCCUAACCACUGGACCACCAAGAAUUUCCCAGCCCAGCUUUAUUUUUGCUGCCUGCUGAGAAAGACGGAGACACUAACGUCGAGCACGGGGCUGCUGUGGGCAUGAGGUGACCCCGACCUGGCUGAGCCCCAGCUCGUGUCCAGUCCAGCAUGGUUACCGCCGUUCAUCACCUCUGGGCUCCAGAUGGAUUCUUUACCAUUAACGCCACCUGGGGAGUUCCUCUCCAGGCCUGCGCUCCCCUCCUAGCACCAGGAUCAGGGAUGCUGAACAUCACAGAGGGGAGUUCCCUGGCUGUCCAAUGGUUGGAACUCCACGCUGCCGCUGCCAACAGUGCACGUUCAAUCCCUG
ensembl:lncRNA